GCAUCGGUGGUCUAGUGGUAGAAUAUUCGCCUGCCACGCGGGUGACCCGGGUUCGAUUCCCGGUCGAUGCA
rfam:Biomphalaria glabrata isolate BB02 unplaced genomic scaffold LGTN_random_Scaffold2032, whole genome shotgun sequence.